rnacentral:rRNA from 1 species
UACGUAGGUGGCAAGCGUUGUCCGGAUUUACUGGGCGUAAAGAGCGCGCAGGCGGUCGGCCAAGUCGAGUGUGAAAGCCCCCGGCUCAACUGGGGGAGGGUCAUUCGAUACUGGUCGACUCGAAGGCAGGAGAGGGAAGCGGAAUUCCCGGUGUAGUGGUGAAAUGCGUAGAUAUCGGGAGGAACACCAGUGGCGAAGGCGGCUUCCUGGCCUGUUCUUGAC